UACGGAGGGUGCGAGCGUUGUCCGGAAUCACUGGGCGUAAAGGGCGCGUAGGUGGCACGGGUAGUCGUCGGUGAAAGUUCAGGGCUCAACCCUGAGUCGGCCGGUGAUACUCCCGAGCUCGAGUGUGGUAGAGGCCAAUGGAAUUCCGGGUGUAGCGGUGGAAUGCGUAGAGAUCCGGAAGAACACCGGUGGCGAAGGCGGGUCUCUGGGCCGAUACUGACGCUGAGGAGCGAAAGCGUGGGGAGCGAACAGG
rnacentral:rRNA from 1 species